UACAGAGGGGGCAAGCGUUAUUCGGAAUUAUUGGGCGUAAAGGGCUCGUAGGCGGUUUGUCGCGUCGGGAGUGAAAACACCGGGCUUAACUCGGUGCUUGCUUUCGAUACGGGCAGACUAGAGGCAUGCAGGGGAGAACGGAAUUCCUGGUGUAGCGGUGAAAUGCGCAGAUAUCAGGAGGAACACCGGUGGCGAAGGCGGGUCUCUGGGCAGUAACUGACGCUGAGGAGCGAAAGCGUGGGGAGCGAACAGG
rnacentral:rRNA from 1 species